rnacentral:rRNA from 1 species
CAAUAGCGUAUAUUAAAGUUGUUGCAGUUAAAAAGCCUCGAUAGUUGGACUUCUGGCAGGGCGCCGCGUGCCACAGUAGUGUGCACAAGGGCCCGGCCAUCCUUCUGUAAAACGUCGGGGAAGUUUAUUCGUCCGCGGCGGGAUCAGUUAAUUUACCUUGAGAAAAUUAGAGUGUUUCAGGCAGGCGUAGCCGGAAUACAUUAGCAUGGAAUAAUGGAAUAGGACUUAGUCUCUUUGUUGGUUCGAGGGACUGGAGUAAUGAUUAAUAGGGAUAGUUGGGGGCAUUAGUACUUAACUGUCAGAGGUGAAAUUCUUGGAUUUGUUAAAGACUAACUUAUGCGAAAGCAUUUGCCAAGGAUGUUUUCAUUAAUCAAGAACGAAAGUUAGGGGAUCAAAGACGAUUAGAUACCA